rnacentral:lncRNA from 1 species
AUGUUGGCAUCUCCCCGGCCAUCUUCAUGCGGCAUUUCCAGCCCCAUCACCCCAGCAUGUGACGGGAGUGCUUGUGCCCCAUGGCUUCACUGCAGAGCACCUCAGCCGUCACAGCGCUGGGCCGACCCCUGCAGCCUCUCCACUGGCCUCACUGGGGCCGGCAGCGGGGCAGCCGAUGGUCUGUGGCUGAUGUGUCUCACACCCUUGGCUUCCUCGCCAGCCCUCUGCAGUGACGGUGGCCCGGCCGAGCUGGGUGACACUGUUCACUGCCCCGCUUCUGCGCUUGGGGAGCAGGGGCGAGGGUGGCUGUGGGCUGGCCGCAGCAGCCAGGCACCCAUGGAAGCCAGCAGCAUGGCUGUGAUCCUGCGGGCAGGUUCUGCACCCGUGGGACUCCCUGUCACAGAACAGAGAUCCCCUUCGGGGCUGGCAUUUAACUCCCUCCUCUGCUCCCAGGCCCAGCACCACUUUCGGUGGCUGUCCCUUCCGCGCUGGGGAUGCUGGUUGGUGUCCCUCAUGGGCUGGUUUUCCCCCCGCCGCCCAGGCAAGAUCACGGGGCCUUUCCUCAUUGCUCGGCCGCCCUCCCUCCGAUAUCAGCUGGAGGCUUUAAUUAACGAAGGCAUUAACCAUACGCUAAGUGCUGGCCCCGGUCACCCCAGGGCUGUGGCUGUGCAGUGUGUCGGUGCAGUCAGCGUGUGGCACUCCGCUCUCUUCCAGACCCAGCUACUGGUGAGGCUGAUUUUCCCCAACUUUUUAACCCUCCUUCCUGAGAUUGGGCGCCGGGCUGCUAGGCUGGAGCCGGCACAGGCUCUGCGUCCUCUCGGCCGUGCUGGCGGGCUGCAGGAGCAGGCUGGCUCUGACAUGAAGCUACAUCACCAGCAGCAGCCUGGCUUUGAGCAAUGCACCCGGACAUGCAGCUCCGAGGGGCUGUCGGCAGCCCUCUGUCCCCGCUGCGGAGGCCCCAGCACGGUGGGACCCUUGCUGCUGGCCAGGGGCACACGGACUCCCGGCACUUGGAGCCCUGGGUAUCCCAGGAGGCUUCGUGCCGGCGUUUCGCCCUCAAAACUCUCCUGGUUUGUUGGAUGGCCCCGAAAGAGCAAGGCAAAGCGCGGUUUCUGCAGAGAGCAGCCAGGUGGCAGAGCUUGCCUGCUUUUCAACUGA